GACGAACGCUGGCGGCGUGCUUAACACAUGCAAGUCGAACGGAAGGGCGCGACGUUUGUGUGGUGCUCGAUUGGCGAGCGGGUGAGAAACACGCGUGUAACCUGCCCUUAUCUGUGUGGUAACUCUACGAGACUCGGGCGCAUACCGGGUAGAAGCUCCUGAUGCACGGUGUUGGAAGGAAAGAUUCGGCGGUGGUGGAUGGAUUCGCGGCUUAUCCGCUUGUUGGUCGAGUAGUGGCUUACCAAGUGUAUGACGGGUAGCCCGCCUGAGAGGGUUAACGGGCUCCUGGGGACUGAGAUACGGCCCAGACUCCUACGGGAGGCAGCAGUGGGGAAUCUUGCACAGUGGGCGGAAGCCUGAUGCAGCAACGCCGCGUGCGGGAUAAUGGGCUUCGGGGGGUAAACCGCUUUCGCAUGUGACGAAGAGUGAGUGACGGUAAUGGGUAAAGAAGCACCGGCUAACUACGUG
rnacentral:rRNA from 1 species